rnacentral:rRNA from 1 species
AUUGAACGCUGGCGGCAGGCCUAACACAUGCAAGUCGAACGGUAACAGGAAGAAGCUUGCUUCUUUGCUGACGAGUGGCGGACGGGUGAGUAAUGUCUGGGAAACUGCCUGAUGGAGGGGGAUAACUACUGGAAACGGUAGCUAAUACCGCAUAACGUCGCAAGACCAAAGAGGGGGACCUUCGGGCCUCUUGCCAUCGGAUGUGCCCAGAUGGGAUUAGCUAGUAGGUGGGGUAACGGCUCACCUAGGCGACGAUCCCUAGCUGGUCUGAGAGGAUGACCAGCCACACUGGAACUGAGACACGGUCCAGACUCCUACGGGAGGCAGCAGUGGGGAAUAUUGCACAAUGGGCGCAAGCCUGAUGCAGCCAUGCCGCGUGUAUGAAGAAGGCCUUCGGGUUGUAAAGUACUUUCAGCGGGAGGAAGGGAGUAAAGUUAAUACCUUUGCUCAUUGACGUUACCCGCAGAAGAAGCACCGGCUAACUCCGUG